CGCUGGCGGCGUGCCUAAUACAUGCAAGUCGAACGGUCUUUCUAUGGAAGCUUGCUUCCACUGAGAAGAUAGUGGCGAACGGGUGAGUAACACGUGGGUAACCUGCCCAUAAGAGGGGGGAGUAACAUCCGGAAACGGGUGCUAAUACCGCAUAGUUUUCUUGAUCGCAUGAUUGAGAAAGGAAAGACGGCCUUUGUGCUGUCGCUUAUGGAUGGACCCGCGGCGUAUUAGUUAGUUGGUGAGGUAACGGCUCACCAAGACGAUGAUACGUAGCCGACCUGAGAGGGUGAUCGGCCACAUUGGGACUGAGACACGGCCCAAACUCCUACGGGAGGCAGCAGUAGGGAAUCUUCCGCAAUGGACGAAAGUCUGACGGAGCAACGCCGCGUGAGUGAAGAAAAGGGUUUUCGGAUCGUAAAACUCUGUUGUCAGAGAAGAACAAGUUGGAGAGUAACUGCUCCAGCCUUGACGGUAUCUGACCAGAAAGCCACGGCUAACUACGUGCCAGCCGCAGC
rnacentral:rRNA from 1 species